CAGCCGCCGCGGUAAUACCGGCGGCCCGAGUGGCGGCCACUAUUAUUGGGCCUAAAGCGUCCGUAGCCGGGCUGGUAAGUCCCCCGGGAAAUCUGGCGGCUUAACCGUCAGAAUUCCGGGGGAUACUGCCAGCCUAGGGACCGGGAGAGGCCGGGGGUAUUCCCGGGGUAGGGGUGAAAUCCUGUAAUCCCGGGAGGACCAGCUGUGGCGAAGGCGCUCGGCUGGAACGCGUCCGACGGUGAGGGACGAAGGCCAGGGGAGCAAACCGGAUUAGAUACCCGGGUAGUCCUGGCUGUAAACGAUGCGGACUUUGUGUCGGACAAGCUAUGAGCUUGUCCGGUGCCGGAGGGAAACCGUUAAGUCCGCCGCCUGGGGAGUACGGCCGCAAGGCUGAAACUUAAAGGAAUUGGCGGG
rnacentral:rRNA from 1 species